rnacentral:rRNA from 1 species
UUAAAUUGAAGAGUUUGAUCAUGGCUCAGAUUGAACGCUGGCGGCAGGCCUAACACAUGCAAGUCGAACGGUAACAGAAAUCAGCUUGCUGAUUUGCUGACGAGUGGCG